rnacentral:snRNA from 1 species
GGCUUUGCACAGUGGCAAUAUUGUAACCAAUGAGGUUUAUCUGAAGCACAGUUAUUGCUAAUUGAAAACUUUUCCCAUGCUUUUCCUGCCAUGAUCAUUUGAAAUGUAGUCAGCACUAGCAUUUUUUUUAAAAAUAUAUCUACU